rnacentral:rRNA from 1 species
GUCUUCUUGAUUUUAUAAGAAGUCUGACCUGCCCGGUGAAUAAGUAUUUAACGGCCGCGGUAUUUUGACCGUGCAAAGGUAGCAUAAUCAUUAGUCUUUUAAUAGAGGGCUGGAAUGAAGGGUUUGACGAAAUGCUUACUGUCUCAUUUAAUUUGAAAUUUGAAUUUAACUUUUUAGUUAAAAGGCUAAAUUGUUGUUGGAAGACGAGAAGACCCUAUAGAGCUUUAUAUUUUAAAAUUUAAAGAAUUUUUGUUUAAUUAUUAUUUUUUAAAUGGAGACUUAUUUUGUUGGGGUGACAAAAACAUAUAAUAAACUUUUUUAUUUAGAUAACAUUGAUUUAUGAAUAUUAGAUCCAUUAUUAUUGAUUGAUAGAGAAAGUUACCUUAGGGAUAACAGCGUAAUCUUCCUUCAGAGUUCAAAUUUACAGGAAGGCUUGCGACCUCGAUGUUGGAUUAAGAUAAUAAUUAGGUGUAGCCGCUUAAUUAAUAGGUCUGUUCGACCUUUAAAUUCUU